CACAUACAAUUAUCUGUAAGGUCCCUCAUCUCUGUACCCCACACAUACAAUUAUCUGUAAGGUCCCUCAUCUCUGUACCCCCACACAUACAAUUAUCUGUAAGGUCCCUCAUCUCUGUACCCCCACACAUACAAUUAUCUGUAAGGUCCCUCAUCUCUGUACCCCCACACAUACAAUUAUCUGUAAGGUCCCUCAUCUCUGUACCCCCACACAUACAAUUAUCUGUAAGGUCCCUCAUCUCUGUACCCCCACACAAACAAUUAUCUGUAAGGUCCCUCAUCUCUGUACCCCCACACAUACAAUUAUCUGUAAGGUCCCUCAUCUCUGUACUCCACACAUACAAUUAUCUGUAAGGUCCCUCAUCUCUGUACCCCCACACAUACAAUUAUCUGUAAGGUCCCUCAUCUCUGUACCCCCACACAUACAAUUAUCUGUAAGGUCCCUCAUCUCUGUACCCCACACAUACAAUUAUCUGUAAGGUCCCUCAUCUCUG